rnacentral:lncRNA from 1 species
ACGAAUUUCACAACUAAGAGAAAAAUAAUCACUUAUUCAAUUAAGCACUUAAGCAUGCAAUUAAUGAAAAAUUACAACUAAUUGAUUAUGAUUGAAAUCUAACCCCCUUACCUUAAUUAGAAAUAAUCCUAGCCAAAGCUUCAAUUUAGCUCCUAGAAUCUCUAUCACCUCUUGGGUCUUCAAGCUUUUCUCCCUUCUAACCCUUUU